GCGGUGGUAGUUCAGAGGUAGAACGCCUGCUUCCCAAGCAGGAGGUCGCGGGUUCGAAUCCCGUCCACCGCU
rnacentral:tRNA from 1 species